UACGUAGGGUGCAAGCGUUAAUCGGAAUUACUGGGCGUAAAGCGUGCGCAGGCGGUGAUGUAAGACAGGUGUGAAAUCCCCGGGCUUAACCUGGGAACUGCAUUUGUGACUGCAUCGCUGGAGUGCGGCAGAGGGGGAUGGAAUUCCGCGUGUAGCAGUGAAAUGCGUAGAUAUGCGGAGGAACACCGAUGGCGAAGGUAAUCCCCUGGGCCUGCACUGACGCUCAUGCACGAAAGCGUGGGGAGCAAGCAGG
rnacentral:rRNA from 1 species